UACUUAGUGGCAGACGGGUGAGUAACAUGUAGGUAUCUUCCCUUUGGUGAGGAAUAACACGAGGAAACUUGUGCUAAUACCUCAUAAGUCUUUACGGAGAAAGCUUUAUGCGCCAAUGGAUGAGCCUGCACUUGAUUAGUUUGUUGGUGGGGUAAUGGCCUACCAAGACUUUAAUCAAUAGCUGAUCUGAGAGGAUGAUCAGCCACAUUGGGACUGAGACACGGCCCAAACUCCUACGGGAGGCAGCAGUAGGGAAUAUUGCACAAUGGAGGAAACUCUGAUGCAGCGAUGCCGCGUGAGUGAAGAAGGCCUUUGGGCUGUAAAGCUCUUUCGUCGGGGAAGAAAAUGACGGUACCCGAAUAAGAAGGUCCGGCUAACUUCGUGCCAGCAGCCGCGGUAAUACGAAGGGACCUAGCGUAGUUCGGAAUUACUGGGCUUAAAGAGUUCGUAGGUGGUUAAAAAAGUUGGUUGUGAAAUCCCGAAGCUUAACUUCGGAACUGCAAUCAAAACUUUUUAGCUAGAGUAUGAUAGAGGAAAGCAGAAUUUCUAGUGUAGAGGUGAAAUUCGUAGAUAUUAGAAAGAAUACCAAUUGCGAAGGCAGCUUUCUGGAUCAUUACUGACGCUGAGGAACGAAAGCAUGGGUAGCGAAGAGGAUUAGAUACCCUCGUAGUCCAUGCCG
rnacentral:rRNA from 1 species